UCCGGCUGUCACAUUCGUGGCGUACCGAAUGCUCGUCUCUCGUGGCGGCGACGGCGGCGGCAUAACGCGUUAAUGAAAAUGGCAACGCGUCGCGACGCCAUGUGGCAGCCUCGACGGGAUACAUACGGCCGCAAAUUGCGCUGCUUUAUCAAUCUGAAAUAACAUCGGCGCGGAACAAUUAGCGACGACGCGAAACUUACGGGGACUUCACCGACCAGCGGAAGGAUCAUGUUACGGUAGACGGAUGUCUGAGAAAGAUAGCGUGUUCAAGAGAAUACAGAAAAUUUAUCUUGAUAAGCAAUAUAUAUUUUCAAGCAGAGGAUAGCGAAGGCAUUAAUUCACAAAGCAAAUGACAUUGCACAUGCAGCAAUUUAGAAAUACACAAGAACCUUCAAAAUAUAUUACAGUCCAAUGAAAAAGAUUUCUAAAAAAAAAAGA